rnacentral:rRNA from 1 species
AUUGAACGCUGGCGGCAGGCCUAACACAUGCAAGUCGAACGCGUGGCGGACGGGUGAGUAAUGUCUGGGAAACUGCCCGAUGGAGGGGGAUAACUUCUGGGAACGGUAGCUAAUACCGCAUACCAUCGGAUCUGCCCAGAUGGGAUUAGCUAGUAGGUGGGGUAACGGUUCACAUAGGCGACGAUCCAUAGCUGGUCUGAGAGGAUGACCAGCCGCACUGGAAAUGAGACACGGUACAGCCUCCUACGGGAGGCGACAGUGGGGAAAAUUGGCCAAUGGGCGCAAGCCUGAUGAAGCCAUGCCGCGUGUAUGAAGAAGGCCUUCGGGUUGUAAAGUAAUUUCAGCGAGGAGGCGUUACUCUCAGAGGAAGCAACGGCUAACUCAGUGCCAGCGGCCGCGGUAAUGC